AACGAACGCUGGCGGCAGGCUUAACACAUGCAAGUCGAACGCACCUUUCGGGGUGAGUGGCAGACGGGUGAGUAACGCGGGGGAAUCUACCCUUCUCUACGGGAUAGCUCCGGGAAACUGGAAUUAAUACCGUAUACGUCCUGAGGGAGAAAGAUUUAUCGGGGAAGGAUGAGCCCGCGUUGGAUUAGCUAGUUGGUGGGGUAAAGGCCUACCAAGGCGACGAUCCAUAGCUGGUCUAAGAGGAUGAUCAGCCACAUUGGGACUGAGACACGGCCCAAACUCCUACGGGAGGCAGCAGUGGUGAAUAUUGGACAAUGGGCGCAGGCCUGAUCCAGCCAUGCCGCGUGAGUGAUGAAGGCCCUAGGGUUGUAAAGCUCUUUCAGUGGGGACGAUAAUGACGGUACCCACAGAAGAAGCCCCGGCUAACUUCGUG
rnacentral:rRNA from 1 species